CAUGAAGCCGGAAUCGCUAGUAAUCGCGGAUCAGCACGCCGCGGUGAAUACGUUCCCGGGCCUUGUACACACCGCCCGUCACACCACGAGAGUUUGUAACACCCGAAGUCGGUGAGGUAACCUUUUGGAGCCAGCCGCCUAAGGUGGGAUAGAUGAUUGGGGUGAAGUCGUAACAAGGUAGCCGUAUCGGAAGGUGCGGCUGGAUCACCUCCUUUCUAAGGAA
rnacentral:rRNA from 2 species